AAUACGGUGGAUUACUAUUAAAUUCUAGGCGUGCAGAUACAUGCCUCACCCGAGGAUAUAAAAAAGGCAUACCAGAAACUUGAACUAAAGUGGCAUCCAGAUAAAAAUCCUGAGAAUAAAGAAGAAGCAGAGAGAAAAUUCAAACAAAUAGCUGAGGCAUAUGAGGUGUUAUCAGAUGCUAAAAACGCGACAUCUAUGACAAGUAUGGCAAAGAAGGCUUAAAUGGUGGAGGUGGAGGUGGAAGUCAUUUUGACAGUCCAUUUGACUUUGGCUUCACAUUCCAGAACACAGAUGAUGUCUUCAGGGACUUUUUUGGUGGAAGGGACCCAUUUUCCUUCGACUUCUUUGAAGAUCCAUUUGAAGACUUUUUUGGGAACCGAAGAGGUCCCCGAGGAAGCAGAAACCGAGGUGCAGGCUCGUUUUUCUCCGCUUUCAGUGGAUUUCCAACAUUUGGAGGUGGAUUUUCUGCAUUUGAUACAGGAUUUACUUCAUUUGGGUCACUAGGUCACGGUGGCCUUACUUCAUUCUCUUCUACAUCAUUUGGUGGCAGCGGGAUGGGUAACUUCAAAUCAAUAUCAACUUCUACCAAAAUAGUAAAUGGGAGAAAAAUCACUACAAAAAGAAUCCUCGAGAAUGGUCAAGAAAGAGUAGAAGUUGAAGAAGACCGCCAGUUAAAGUCCUUAACAAUAAAUGGUAAGGAGCAGCUGCUACGCUUGGAUAACAAGUAA